UCCGUAGGUGAACCUGCGGAGGGAUCAUUACAGAGUUGCAAAACUCCCAAACCAUUGUGAACGUUACCUUCAAACCGUUGCUUCGGCGGGCGGCCCGGGUCCGCCCGGUGCCCCCUGGCCCCCUCGCGGGGCGCCCGCCGGAGGAAACCCAACUCUUGAUACAUUAUGGCCUCUCUGAGUCUUCUGUACUGAAUAAGUCAAAACUUUCAACAACGGAUCUCUUGGUUCUGGCAUCGAUGAAGAACGCAGCGAAAUGCGAUAAGUAAUGUGAAUUGCAGAAUUCAGUGAAUCAUCGAAUCUUUGAACGCACAUUGCGCCCGCCAGUAUUCUGGCGGGCAUGCCUGUUCGAGCGUCAUUUCAACCAUCAAGCCCCAGGCUUGUGUUGGGGACCUGCGGCUGCCGCAGGCCCUGAAAACCAGUGGCGGGCUCGCUGUCACACCGGGCGUAGUAGAUUUUAUCUCGCUCAGGGCGUGCUGCGGGUUCCGGCCGUUAAAAAGCCUUUUUUACCCAAGGUUGACCUCGGAUCAGGUAGGAAGACCCGCUGAACUUAAGCAUAUCAAUAAGGCGGAGGA
rnacentral:rRNA from 1 species